rnacentral:tRNA from 1 species
GCGUCUGUAGCCUAGUUGGUAAAGGCAGCACUCUAGAUGCUGAGGUCAUGGGCUCGACUCCCAUCAGACACA